rnacentral:rRNA from 1 species
ACGCCCCUGCCGGCAGCCUAUAAUGCAGUCGAGCGAUGGAUUAAAAGCUUGCUCUUAUGAAGUUAGCGGCGGACGGGUGAGUAACACGUGGGUAACCUGCCCGUAAGACUGGGAUAACUCCGGGAAACCGGGGCUAAUACCGGAUAACAUUUUGAACUUCAUGGUUCAAAAUUGAAAGGCGGUUUCGGCUGUCACUUAUGGAUGGACCCGCGUCGCAUUAGCUAGUUGGUGAGGUAACGGCUCACCAAGGCAACGAUGCGUAGCCGACCUGAGAGGGUGAUCGGCCACACUGGGACUGAGACACGGACCAGACCCGCUAUCGGGAGGCAGCAGUAGGGAAUCUUCCGCAAUGGACGAAAGUCUGACGGAGCAACGCCGCGUGAGUGAUGAAGGCUUUCGGGUCGUAAAACUCUGUUGUUAGGGAAGAACAAGUGCUAGUUGAAUAAGCCUGGCACCUUGCCGGACUCCUAACCAAAAAGCCACGGCUAACUACUGGCUCACCACCCGCGGAAAUACUAAGGGGGCAAGCUGUUAUCCGAAUAUUAUGGGGCGAAAAGCGCGCGCACGGGGGUUUCUAUAAUUCUGUAUGGGAAAGCCCACGGGUUACACCCGGAGAAGGGCUCAUGGAAAACUGGGAAACUUGAGAGCAAAAAAAGAAAAGGGAAAUUCCAUGUGAAGCGGUGAAAUGCUAAAAAUGAUGAAGGAGACACCCAAGGGCGAGAGGCGACUUUCUGGUCUGUUAACUGUACACGUGAGGCGCGAAAGCGGGGGAAGCAAACAGAAUUAGAUAUUCCCGGGAAGCCCACCCCGUAAACAAUGAGUGCUUAAUGUGUUGAGAGGGUUUCCCGCCCUUUAGUGGCUGAACUUAAGCCGCAUAAAGCACUUCCCCCGGGGGGAGUACGGCCCCAAAGCCUGAAACCCAAAGGAAAUGACGGGGGCCCCCCAAAGCGGUGGGAACCAUGUGGGUUUAAUUUCAAGCAACCGAAAGAACCUUUACCGGGUCUGGACCUCCUUUGAAAACCCUAAGAAUUAGGGGCUUCCCCUUCGGGAGACAGAACGGACCAGGGGGGUGCAUGGUGUUCUCGCCAGCCCUCGUGGUCGGGAGAAAGUUGGGGUUAAUUCCGCCACGGAGGCCACCCCUGGUUUUAGUUGCCCUCCAUAAAGUGGGCCCUUUUAGGUGGCUGCGGUGGCCAACCCGAGGAAAGUGGGGGUGACGUCAAAUCCUCCUGCCCCUUAUGACCUUGGGUUCCCCCGUGGUUCCAUUGGAUGGUACAAAGAGGUGCAAGACCGCGAGGUGGAAGCUAAUUUUCAUAAACCCUUUUUCAUUUGGGAUGUAGGGUGCAAAUUGCCUACCAGAAGCUGGGAAUCGUUAGAAUCGCGGAUCAGCAUGCCGCGGUGAAUACGUCCCGGGCCUUGUACACACCGCCCGUCACACCACGAGAGUUUGUAACACCCGAAGUCGGUGGGGUAACCUUAUUGAGCCAGCCUCCUAAUGGGACCAAUU